AUGGCGAAGGCGUUUUACGCGGUAGGUUUCUGGAUCCGGGAGACCGGUCAGGCCCUCGACCGCCUCGGCUGUCGCCUCCAGGGGAACUACUUCUUCCACGAGCAGAUUUCAAGGCAUCGCACACUUAUGAACAUCUUUGACAAAGCCCCUCAUGUUCACAAAGAGGCAUUUGUCGCUCCAAGUGCAUCCCUUAUUGGCGAUGUUGAAGUUGGGCAAGGGUCUUCAAUUUGGUACGGAUGCGUCUUAAGAGGUGAUGCAAAUAACGUUCAAGUUGGAUCUGGGACCAAUAUACAGGAUAAUUCUGUUGUGCAUGUGGCAAAAUCUAAUCUAAGUGGCAAAGUCUUUCCAACUAUCAUUGGCGACAAUGUCACAGUAGGGCAUAGUGCUGUAUUACAAGGAUGCACUGUUGAGGAUGAAGCUUUUGUUGGUAUGGGAGCUACCCUGUUAGAUGGUGUUGUUGUGGAAAAGCAUGGGAUGGUUGCUGCUGGAGCCCUUGUAAGACAGAACACGAGGAUCCCUUGUGGAGAGGUAUGGGGUGGAAACCCUGCAAAAUUUCUGAGGAAGCUCACAGACGAGGAGAUCGCUUUUAUUGCGGAAUCAGCUGCCAACUAUUCCAACUUAGCCAAGGCACAUGCUGUUGAGAAUGCUAAACCCUUGGAAAAGAUUGAUUUUGAGAAAGUGCUGCGCAAGAAAUUUGCUCACGAGGGCGAUGAACACGAUUCCAUGCUUAGUGUCACUCGAGAGGUCCCUCCAGAGCUGGCGCCCCCCAGUCCUACUCCUGCCCAAUAA
rnacentral:rRNA from 1 species